rnacentral:misc_RNA from 1 species
AAUAAAACAAAUAUGUUUCAUAAUGCACUCAAAGAAAAAGAAAUUCAAGGAUUACUUUGAUUCAAUUCUUUAUUAUGAAAAGUUCAGAGAUUUCUUCUAAAUUAUCGUACUUAAGAAUUCAGCUUUUUAAUGCAAUGUAGUGAUUUUUAUUUUCACUAGGAAUUUUCUCAUUUAGAAAGUAAUCUGCUUCUUAUUUAGCAUUUUCUUUGUUUGGGAUCACUGAUACUAAUAGGAGCAGCGUUAAUGAUUAAAAUAUAUAAUCAAGGUAUGAAAGGAAUCUUCAUCAUAGAAGGA